rnacentral:rRNA from 1 species
AUUGAACGCUGGCGGCAUGCUUUACACAUGCAAGUCGAACGGUAACAGGCCGCAAGGUGCUGACGAGUGGCGAACGGGUGAGUAAUGCAUCGGAACGUGCCCAGUCGUGGGGGAUAACUACUCGAAAGAGUAGCUGAUACCGCAUACGAUCUAUGGAUGAAAGCGGGGGACCGUAAGGCCUCGCGCGAUUGGAGCGGCCGAUGUCAGAUUAGGUAGUUGGUGGGGUAAAGGCUCACCAAGCCAACGAUCUGUAGCUGGUCUGAGAGGACCACCAGCCACACUGGGACUGAGACACGGCCCAGACUCCUACGGGAGGCAGCAGUGGGGAAUUUUGGACAAUGGGCGCAAGCCUGAUCCAGCAAUGCCGCGUGCAGGAAGAAGGCCUUCGGGUUGUAAACUGCUUUUGUACGGAACGAAACGGCUCUGGUUAAUACCCGGGGCUAAUGACGGUACCGUAAGAAUAAGCACCGGCUAACUACGUG